UACGUAGGGGGCAAGCGUUGUCCGGAUUCAUUGGGCGUAAAGAGCGUGUAGGCGGCCAGGUAGGUCGGUUGUGAAAACUGGAGGCUCAACCUUCAGAGGUCGACCGAAACCAUCUGGCUAGAGUCCGGGAGAGGAGAGUGGAAUUCCUGGUGUAGCGGUGAAAUGCGCAGAUAUCAGGAAGAACACCCGUGGCGAAAGCGGCUCUCUGGAACGGUACUGACGCUGAGACGCGAAAGCCGUGGGGAGCGAACAGG
rnacentral:rRNA from 1 species